rnacentral:rRNA from 1 species
GGGUUGUGAGGUUAAGCGACUAAGCGUACACGGUGGAUGCCCUGGCAGUCAGAGGCGAUGAAGGGCGUGCUAAUCUGCGAUAAGCGCCGGUAAGGUGAUAUGAACCGUUAUAACCGGCGAUACCCGAAUGGGGAAACCCAGUGUGACUCGUCACACUAUCAUUAACUGAAUCCAUAGGUUAAUGAGGCGAACCGGGGGAACUGAAACAUCUAAGUACCCCGAGGAAAAGAAAUCAACCGAGAUUCCCCCAGUAGCGGCGAGCGAACGGGGAGGAGCCCAGAGCCUGAAUCAGCAUGUGUGUUAGUGGAAGCGUCUGGAAAGGCGCGCGAUACAGGGUGACAGCCCCGUACACAAAAGCGCAUGUGCUGUGAGCUCGAUGAGUAGGGCGGGACACGUGGUAUCCUGUCUGAAUGUGGGGGGACCAUCCUCCAAGGCUAAAUACUCCUGACUGACCGAUAGUGAACCAGUACCGUGAGGGAAAGGCGAAAAGAACCCCGGCGAGGGGAGUGAAAAAGAACCUGAAACCGUGUACGUACAAGCAGUGGGAGCCCCACCACCAAAGCAUUCUCUGGUGUUGAAGGCCCUGCAAAGCAGCAUCGCGGUGGCGGAGCGUCGUUUGCGACGCCCAACACACAAAACAAGCGGUGAGUGCUUUGGGGUGGGGUGACUGCGUACCUUUUGUAUAAUGGGUCAGCGACUUAUAUUCUGUAGCAAGGUUAACCGUAUAGGGGAGCCGUAGGGAAACCGAGUCUUAACCGGGCGUUAAGUUGCAGGGUAUAGACCCGAAACCCGGUGAUCUAGCCAUGGGCAGGUUGAAGGUUGGGUAACACUAACUGGAGGACCGAACCGACUAAUGUUGAAAAAUUAGCGGAUGACUUGUGGCUGGGGGUGAAAGGCCAAUCAAACCGGGAGAUAGCUGGUUCUCCCCGAAAGCUAUUUAGGUAGCGCCUCGUGAAUUCAUCUUCGGGGGUAGAGCACUGUUUCGGCUAGGGGGUCAUCCCGACUUACCAACCCGAUGCAAACUGCGAAUACCGGAGAAUGUUAUCACGGGAGACACACGGCGGGUGCUAACGUCCGUCGUGAAGAGGGAAACAACCCAGACCGCCAGCUAAGGUCCCAAAGUCAUGGUUAAGUGGGAAACGAUGUGGGAAGGCCCAGACAGCCAGGAUGUUGGCUUAGAAGCAGCCAUCAUUUAAAGAAAGCGUAAUAGCUCACUGGUCGAGUCGGCCUGCGCGGAAGAUGUAACGGGGCUAAACCAUGCACCGAAGCUGCGGCAGCGACACUGUGUGUUGUUGGGUAGGGGAGCGUUCUGUAAGCCUGCGAAGGUGGCCUGUGAGGGUUGCUGGAGGUAUCAGAAGUGCGAAUGCUGACAUAAGUAACGAUAAAGCGGGUGAAAAGCCCGCUCGCCGGAAGACCAAGGGUUCCUGUCCAACGUUAAUCGGGGCAGGGUGAGUCGACCCCUAAGGCGAGGCCGAAAGGCGUAGUCGAUGGGAAACAGGUUAAUAUUCCUGUACUUGGUGUUACUGCGAAGGGGGGACGGAGAAGGCUAUGUUGGCCGGGCGACGGUUGUCCCGGUUUAAGCGUGUAGGUGUGUGUUCCAGGUAAAUCCGGUUCACUUUAAC